rnacentral:rRNA from 1 species
AGAGUUUGAUCAUGGCUCAGGAUGAACGCUAGCGGCGGGCUUAAUACAUGCAAGUCGAACGGUAACAGGUCUUCGGAUGCUGACGAGUGGCGCACGGGUGCGUAACGCGUACACAAUCUACCUUUAAGUGGGGUAUAGCCUUGGGAAACUGAGAAUAAUCCCCCAUAGUAUCAAUGGUUCGCAUGGAUUGUUGAUUAAAGAUUUAUUGCUUAAAGAUGAGUGUGCGUUUGAUUAGGUAGUUGGAGAGGUAACGGCUCCCCAAGCCGACGAUCAAUAACUGGUCUGAGAGGAUGAUCAGUCACACGGGAACUGAGACAUGGUCCCGACUCCUACGGGAGGCAGCAGUAGGGAAUAUUGGGCAAUGGAGGCAACUCUGACCCAGCCACGCCGCGUGGAGGAUGAAGGUGCUAUGCAUCGUAAACUUCUUUUGUCAAGGGAGAAAGUGCUUGAUUUAUCGAGUUUUGACGGUACUUGGCGAAUAAGCAUCGGCUAACUACGUGCCAGCAGCCGCGGUAAUACGUAGGAUGCAAGCGUUAUCCGGAAUCACUGGGUUUAAAGGGUCUGUAGGCGGUAUCAUAAGUCAGUGGUGAAAUAUCUGGGCUUAACUUGGAGGGUGCCAUUGAUACUGUAGUACUUGGGAUAGAAUGACGUGGGCGGAAUGUGUCAUGUAGCGGUGAAAUGCUUAGAGAUGACACAGAACACCGAUUGCGAAGGCAGCUCACGAAGCCUUAUCUGACGCUGAGGGACGAAGGCGUGGGGAGCAAACAGGAUUAGAUACCCCGGUAGU